GACUCCCUUCCGACUCCGCGCCUGCGCAGGAAGCGAUUUGGGGAGUGUUGUGAAUUCCGAGGGCUCCACACUUAAGAGGUUGUACACUCACCUGUCUACCUGGACUCCAAUUUCCAUAUUUCCAGCCACUUGAGGACUGAGAGGUGGAUGAUAAACCCUGUCAUAGUGGAGCAAGUUCAGGUGUUUAACCGCUGUUAUGGGGGAUCUGCCUUUUCUCCCUCUUCUUUCUUACUUCCAUAAGUAUGUAUGUGCAGAGAUUGAAAAAUAACCUUGAGAGAGUCCAUCCAUCUAACUCCAGGUAAGACUGCAAAUAUUUCUUUCUUAUAAAUCUGGGAGGAAUGCAGUCAGUGUUUCAUGCCAACCAAAAAAGACUGCAAACGUUUUUCCAUCCUUCUGCCUUGAAUACCUUUCUACUUAGAUGACUAUUUUGUAAGACGUGAGUGCAAAUGUUAUAUACAAUACCAACUCCAUACUAGAUGUUUAAUUAAUUCUAGGGAUUCAGUAAUAAGGAAUGACUCGAACAGAUUUCUGCCUACAGACAGCUAAUGCUUCUUGUAUUUUUGCAUUACCUGAAAUGAAAGUAGCAAUGUUAGAUUUUACAGUAGUGGGAGGUUGUAAACAAUAGUAUGUUAAACAUUUUUGAUCAUUUAUAAUAAAAUGUUCAGCACUAAACAUAUGGUCUGAUACUCUGUGCUUUAUUGCUUAAUAAGCUUUUUUUUUUCUUUUCGAGAGGGAGUCGUGCUCUGUCACCCAGGCUGGAGUGUAGUGGCGCGAUCUCUGCUCUGCUCAUUGCAACCUCUGCCUCCCUGGUUCAAGCAAUUCUUCUGCCUCAGCCUCCCAAGUAGCUUGGAUUACAGGCGCCCGCCACCACACCCAGCUAAUUUUUGUAUUUUUAGUAGAGACGGGGUUUCACCGUGUUGGCCAAGCUGGUCUCGAACUCCUGACCUCGUGAUCCGCCCACCUUGUCCUCCCAAAGUGCUGGGAUUACAGGCGUGAGCCACCGCGCCCGGCCAAUAAGCUUUUUUCUUAAAAAGUACUCAGAAGACUUUUCUAUCCAUUCAUUCUGUUAACGCGCGUCAGUGUGAAGAGACCACCAAACAGGCUUUGGAAAGCUCCUAGAGAAUGUGUUCAGCAAAACAUGGGAGUAGCCCAAGAAAAAGAAAGACAUGAGAUCCAGAAAACCGGACCAGGAAAUUAAGAAGGGAAACUCCAGGAUGAGAGAAAUAUGGCAGAAUUGGAGAGCAACCCAUUUUCACUGAACAGGGAGAUGGCAGACUUCAAGAGAAAACAGUAGUUACAGUAAUUGAAAUGAUAGAUUAUCUAAUUUUGAGUAUUUGAGAAAUUAUAUUGAUAGAUGUUUGAUAGAUCUAAUGAACUAUGGGAUAAAAUUGGAGAAUGAAUUGUAAAAAAAAAUACAAGUAAAAAAAGGAGACAAUUGUUAAUUCCAUGAAAAUUACAUCAGAAGGGAGACAACAUUUCUCUAAACUGUUUUGUGGUGGUGAAAAAUGUAGAACUUUUCAGAACUUUUGAAAUGCUAAUAUGCAUCUCUAAGAAGGAGAGAGCAUGAAGCAUAGAACUUCAUGGAAUUUAUUUGUAUUGUUAAUUACAUUACUUUUAAAUUUACUUUUUAAAACCAUAUCACAUGGUUUAAAAUUUAAAACAAUAAGGACUCAUAAUGCAAUAGAAAAAUUGAGAAGAGGACUUAGAUACCUUGAAAAAGAGGUGAAAAGGUUCUCAACAUCAUUAAUUAUCAGGGAAUCACAAAUUUUAUUCACAUUGCAACACUACUAUCCAAACAGUAGAAUGAAUAAAAUUAAAAAGACAGAAUAUACCAAGUGUGAGUGAGGAUUUGGAGCAACAGGAGCUCUUGUACACUGCUCAUGGGAGUGUUGAUUGGUUCAAUCAAUUUUGUAAAUUGUAUGUCAGUAUCUAUUAAAAUUGUAGAUAUGCAGAUCCUAUGACCCAGUAAUUCCUUGCUUCGGUAUGUGGACAUGUGUAUGCAUCUACUAGAAUGUUCAUAGCAGUGGUGUUUAUAAUAGCCUCAAACUGGAAAUUACCCAGAUAUCCAUAAAUAGUAGAAUAGAUAAAUACAUUUUGGCACAUUUAUGCAAUAUAAUACUAAAUGGGAAUGAAAUUAAACAGUGUACAAAUAUAAUGUUGGAUGAAAAAAGCCAGAUACAGAAGAGUACAUAUUGCAUGAGUCCAUUUGUAUAAAGUACAAAAAUAAAUAAAACUAACUUAUGCUUAUAGAAAUCUUCUCUCUAGUAGGGGAGAGGCAUUGAUUAGAAGGGAAUCAUGAGGUAUUUAGGAUGAUGGUAAUGUUCUAUUUUUUGAUUCAGGACCUAGGCUGUAGGUGCCAGUUGCAUGGGUGUGUUCAGUUUAUGAAAAUUCUUGGAGAUUACACUCACAUUCACUUUUCUGAAUAUAGUACUUCAAUAAAAAGUUAAUUGGUUUAAAUAUAAAAUAAACAUGCACAUAU
rnacentral:lncRNA from 1 species